CACCGGCUAUCUGCUACAAUGUAAAGGUUGGAAGUCCAUUUUCUGCAACCCCAAAAGGCCUGCAUUUCUGGGAAAUUCACCUAUCAACCUUCACAGCAUCCUGAAUCAAAUUAUGCGAUGGUCUGUUGGCCUCCUUGAAGUGGCCUUCUGCAGAUAUAGUCCCAUCACUUUCGGAGUCAAGUCCAUAAACCCUCUUACAGGGCUAUGUUAUGCUCACUACGCCUUCUGGUCAAUAUGGUCCAUUCCAAUUACCAUCUAUGCCUUUGUCCCCCAGCUAGCUCUGCUCAAUUGUGCCUCAAUAUUCCCAAAGGUAUGCCCAUCUAAGCAUUCAUUAGCAUCGCAAUUAUGAAUUCAUGAUAAAUACUAUUAUAUAAUUGAUACUUAAUAAGCAAAUUGUAUGGUUUUGCAGGCAUCGGAACCUUGGUUUUUAUUGUACAUAUUCCUUUUCCUUGGUGCCUAUGGGCAAGAGUGUCUCGAGUUUAUGUUAGAUGGAGAAUCAAUCCAAAGAUGGUGGAACAAUCAGAGGAUGUGGACAAUUAGGGGACUCUCAAGUUUCAUUUUUGGAUUGGCUGAAUACUGGCUGAAGUUCAUUGGCAUUUCCACAUUUGGAUUUAAUGUUACAAGCAAGGUAGUUGAUGAGGAACAAAGCAAGCGAUAUAAUCAAGGGAUUUUCGAUUUUGGAGUCCCAUCACCCUUGUUCUUGCCCAUAACAACAGCUGCAGUAAUCAACUUGGUCUCAUUCCUAUGGGGCAUAGUACACGUUUUGAAGCAAAGAGACCUUGAAGGUCUAUUUAUGCAGAUGCUCUUGGCCAGUUUUGCAAUAGUGAAUUGCUGGCCGCUGUAUGAAGCCAUGGUCUUGAGGACUGAUGAAGGAAAGAUGCCUGUGAAGAUCACAUUGAUCUCAAUUACUCUUGCAUGGGCUCUUUACUUGGUAGCCCCCGUCGUAUUUUAAGAUAUGGCCAUGACUAUAUAUUUUCUCAUUGUCAGAUCUUUUCUGUGCCGCAGCCUGUGCAAUAUAUCAUUGAUAGUCUUGUUUUAAGUUUCGGCGUUUGUAAUCUAAUUUGCACGUUUUUAUUGGUUAUAAUAUUUUUUUUUGCGCACCCUUAAUAUAUUUUCUUAAGUACUCAAAAGGAGCAUAUGUUAAAGGAAGCAUUUUAACAACUUUAAUUUUAUCAUUAUAAAAAAGGGGGGAGAUUAAUUGUUAAGACCAAUGUUUGAUUUAUCUUGGUUUUUCAAUGAUAAUAAACAAGGUUUGGAUUUGUUUUAUAUUUAAUUAAUUGUGUUAGGCAAGUAAAUUUCCUAAAGGAAAUUAAAAUGGAGAAGACUUAGAAGAGUUGAUAUUUCAAGUUAAUUUUUCUAUGAUCUUUUUGUAAGGUUAUUGUGCAGAUGCACUAGACUCUCAUAUUGCGUUACAUUUUAAUUUAAGUAUUUGAAAUUAUUUAAAUGCUUAAGUAUGUUUGAUUCUUUUUUAAGUUAGAUGAAGAAUUUUUCUAAAUGAAAUCUACACAUUUGCUUGGUGCUCUUCAUGUAGGAUUAAAAAGUUUAUCUAAGUGAAUUUUCUUAUAGAUAUUGCGUUAAAUAUGUAAAAGUUGUAGAAACUACAAAGCUUAUUUAUACAUUUUAAAUGAUUUUUAUAAAAAAAAUGAAAUAGAUUAUUUCGAGGAUAAAAACUUAGAAGUUUUUCAUCAUAAAAAAGGGUUUUAGUCAAUCUUAAGUUUUUAUAUCAAAACAAUUCAAGCCAUAAAAGCUUAUUUGUGCAUAAUUUUUUUAUUUGUGUAUUAAUUUUUUAUAUUUUCUUAUAUGUUUGACCAAAGGUUGACUGACGUAGUUCCAUGGGUUACUGUUCACUCAAUUGGUUGCUCUUAAAUCUGUUGAAUCGAUUGAGGUUGACAAAAGUUUGUAUAAAUACAUUGGUUAAGUUAAGCUUAUUUCAAUAAGUUAAAAUGGAUCAAAAUUCAAACUAAUUAACAACUAGAAAAUUCUUCUUCAACCAAAUUAUUGUUAAUCAAGGUUUAUUAACAACUAGGGAAUGCAAGAAUCAUGUAGAAGAUCAUACAAACACCUAGCAAAUUAUUCAGGUUGGUAGAGUUUUCAUUCAAGUGCUUAGGGUUUUCUACAUUAGGGUUCAAUAAGAACAGCAAGGUAGUCCACGAUGAACAAGGAAAAAGGUACGAGCAAGGCACCUUUGAGUUUGGUGUCGCCUCGUGCGCCCAUGUUUGUGCCACUAACAAUGGCGGCCUUGGUCAACCUGUUAAUUUCAUUCCUCCGAGGGAUCAUUAAAAUUUCCAGAGGUAGAAGAAGUAUGGAAGAGUGGUUCAUAGAGAUGUUCAUUGCUGGUUUUGUGGUGGUGAAUUGCUUGCCAAUUUAUGAGGCCAUGGUCAUGAGGAAGGAUAAAGGGAGAAUACCUACCAAAACUACCAUUAUUUCUGCAGUUUUGGUCUAUGCUCUUUACACUGCGGCUUCUUUUACCCUGAAAAUUUGAUAGUAGAAUCUUUGCUUGGUGUUUUUACUUCGCAGAAGUGAGUGAAGAACAAAAAAAAUAGCAUAUGCAUGUAAUCUCAAGGGAGAAAAAAAAAAGCAUUAAAAAAAUCAUUAUUUAAUUAGAUUUGAGUUAUAAAAUCCAAAUUAAAAUAAUUUAUCCUGAUUGUGAUAUUCACAAUAUUUUCUGUCAUCUUAUAUAUCCUCUUGUACUUAUUAGAUCAUUCAUUGUAUUUUAGUGGUCACUUUUUAAUUAAAACAUAGAGCAGUGUAAUUGAUCAGUUUUCCUAACUUUUGCCACCUAGUUUUUGCUGCAACCAAAGGGAAAACAGUAAACGUGCAAUAUUAAAGUUCUAAAACAAAAGGGAAAAAACAAACGAAACCAAGCAUCACUGUUAAAUAUGUUGUAUGCAUUAAUGUUAUAUAAAAAGUAUAGUACUUCUUGUUUUAGCAUCUUCAGGGUUGGACAGUACUUCCAAGGCUCGGAUUUAUUUGUUUUUACCAAUGAUCCACUCGAGGGUUGAGUGCCAUCCCCGAUAGGGAUGGCAACGGGGCGGGUUCGGGGCGGGGCGCCCCCCUCCCAACCCCGCCCCGUUUAUUUAAAUCAAUUCCCAUCCCCGUCCCAUUUAAAAAAUUAAACGGGGCGGGGCGGGGCGGGCGGGUAUGCUACAUUCCCAUACCCGCCCCGUUUAGCUUUUUAUUUAAUUUUAAUUUUAAUUUUUUUAAAAAAUUACUUUUAAAUUUUUUUAAUUAUAUUAAAAUAAAUAUAUUUUAUAAAUAAUUAAAUAAUUAUAUUUUUUAUAACUUAUUUUAUUAAAAAUAAUUUAUUAUUAUCUAUAUAUUAAAAUAAUAAAAUAAAAAUUAAAUUAAAUUAAUUUUAAAUUUUAAAUUAAAUUUAAAUUUAAUUUUAAUUUUAUAUAUAAUCGGGGUGGGGCGGGGCGGGGCGGGGCGGGGCAAUACCCGAACCCGCCCCGGGUUUCAAAAAAAAUCCCAAACCCGUCCCAUACCCGUUUAGAAAAAUAAUAUCCCACCCCAUUAGGGGCGGGGCGGGGCGGGUACCCGAAAUGACCCGCCCCAUUGCCAUCCCUAAUCCAUGAUGGACGAAAACUUAGGCCUUGUGGUAAUUAGUUUUUAGAAUAGUUUUUCGUUUUUUUAAAAUAGAACAACAAGAAAUCGUGUUUGACAUUUGAAUAAUUAGAAAAUGAUGGAUGAAAACUUGAGUCUUAUUUAACAACUGUUUUUUAGAAUGAUUUUUUAUUUUUUUUAGAAUAGAAAGAUAAAAAAAAACAUGUUUGCUAUUCAAAAAAAUUGUUUUAUGUUUUUGCUUUAAGAAUAUAAGACAAAAUAUUUUUAGAAAACAUCUUGUAUUUUUAAAAAUAGGUUAAAACCAUUUAAAUUUUCAAAUAAAAUUUUAUUUUACAAAAUAUUAAAAACAUUUAUUAAGAACUUUUCUUAAAAAUUAUUUUUGAAAACUAUUUUCAAAAUCAGUUAACCAAACGAGGCAUAAAGAAUUGGGCUCAUGGUUUUAAAACGGUUGUCAAAUGACUAGUUUUUAAUAGUUAAUUAUAUAGUAUGGGGAUUAUGGGAAUAUGAAAGUGUAGGCCUCCCAAGCCUUCAAAAUGGGAGCCAUCAAUCGAUCUCCUUUUUAAAAAAGCCAAAACAUUAGACCCACUUAGAUUAUUUCUCCUUAGAAAUGAAUCCAUUCCAUGCUUACUUGCCUCUUAAGCUUUUUCCUCUUUCAUUAAGUAAAAUUUUUAAAAAAAUCUUGCAAAUAAUUUCUUAUUUUUUUACUUUAUCAAUAAAUUACGAAUAAAGUUAAAAUUACAAUAUUUUUUUAAACAAAAUAUUGAUAUUGUAAACUUCUAUUUAAACAUGAAGGAAUUUUUAAAAUAAGUUAAAAUAAAGGUUUUACAUGAAAUAAUAUUUUUUUAACUUUUAUGUUCAACUAUUUUUUAAGUGAUUAGUUUUUUUUUUUUUUUUUUUAAAACAAAACUAAUUAAACACAUAUAUAAAUUCUUAUUGCUAUUAAAAAAACCAUUUUUCCUUUCAAAAAUUAAUCUUGAAAUUAACUUUUAUAAAGUUUAAAUUAUACCUAUUUUUUUACAUAUGAUGGACAGAUGUAAAGGUUUUUAUCAAUAUAUUUGUUUACUCCAUUCUUGGACUAUGUUGGUAAUUUUGAUUAAUUAAAUUUAUUUUAAAAUAUUUUGUUUGAAUAUAAAAAUAAAAUAAUUUUAAACUUUAUUUUGAAUUUAAAAUAAACUUGAGUUUCUUUGUAAUAAUAUUUUUAGAAUACCCAACAACUUUACAAAAGAAAGAUGCUCAACAAAGGCACACCCAAUUGAACCAAGUCUUCCUCCAAGUCUUCCUUUAAGUCUUCCUCCAAGUCUAUGCUUUUGUGGUCCCAUUGAAAAAAUUUAGGAGGUGCACAAUUGGAUAUAUCCUAUCUUGUUUGUCCAUGGAAUUGGACAUAGUUUUAACCUCUAUUUUUAGAAGUGGAAGUAAUUAUUUUUAUUAUGCAAUUUUUAUUUUUUAUUUUUAUUAUGUAAUUAUUUUUAAUUACUUUUAUUAAAAAUAAUAUUAAGUUUUUUAUUUUUAAAAUUUUGAUAAAAUAAAAUUUACUUUUAACAUUGUGUCACAGUGGGAAAAGUAGAGGGUUUCUACUUUUAAAAUUUUAAAAUUUAAAAUUAUUUUUAAAUUUAUGAUAUUGUCAAAAAAUUUAAUUAAUAUUUAUCUUUUGAAGAAAUAAUUUUAAUUGAAUUUUAAAAAGAUAUUUUUUAUAUUUAAAUUGAAGUUAUUUCUUCGUAAAAAAAAAAAACUUUUAAUUGAUGUUAUAUAAAGUAUUAUUAUUAUUAUUUAAAUGAAAGUAUUUUCAAAAAGUAUUUCAAUUAUUAAAACGAAUCAAUACAUAUAAAAGCAUUUUGUUGGAUCAUAUUAUAAGUCAUGACUCAUGAGCCAUACAAUUGGGAAAUAUUAAGCACAAAAGACAGCUUCAUAUUUCGUAUACGGAGAAGAAAGAAGAGCAGUAAUGGCGAAUCCAUUCCAAUUCCGUCCUCCUCUUCACACCCGAGUUCUCAUGCGCCGAACCUCUGCAUACCGAGUGUUCGCCAUCUUCUACUCGUUUGCCAUCUUAGCUUUGCUAUAUCACCAUCUCAUUCAUCUACUCCACUCCCCAAAUACACUCUCCUUCUUCAUUCUUCUGGCUGAUGUAUUGUUUAGUUUCUUGUGGGCAUCCUCGCAGGGCUUUCACAUGUGUCCGACGGAUCGUCGGGUCUUCAUCGAACACCUUGAGCAUUAUGUCAAGGAGAGUGAUUAUCCGGGGCUGGAUGUGCUUAUAUGCACCGCUGAUCUACACAAGGAGCCACCUAUGGGUGUGGUGAACACUGCUCUAUCUAUGAUGGCAUAUGAUUAUCCGACAGCGAAGUUGUCGGUCUAUGUAUCCGAUGAUGGAGGUUCCAAGCUCACCCUCUUUGCUUUCAUGGAGGCUGCUAGGUUUGCUACCCACUGGCUACCUUUUUGUAGGAAGAAUAAGGUUGUAGAGAGGUGUCCGGAGGCUUAUUUCGGAUCCAACCCCUCAUCAUGGUUUCCAGAGACUGAUCAGAUUAAGGUAAAACAAUACCCAACUUCAUCUAUCUAUAUUACUUCCUUUUUAUUUUUUUUUUGUCUUUAAUUUCAAUAGUUAACCACCCAUUCACAUUGAGUCUCGGAAAUGCUUAUUGAUCUUUUGAAUUAUUUCUUCAACUGUAAUGAUGUAUUGGUUUAUUUCUGUGGGCUAGGUGGUUUCUCUUCUGUCAAAAAGGUCAAACAUCUACAAAGUUUUUUCUUACUUUUCUCUCACACUUCUUUUUGGCCCUUUGUCCUAUGUCUCUUUUGAUAUAUACCUUUGCUUGGAGUCAAGUUGAAGGCAUCUGCUCAUGUAUAUAUUUUGCCCUUUGCCUUCUUGCUUGUUCCUUUGUUCCAUGCUCCACCCGGAUUAAAGUCUUGAUUCGAUGUUGAUUUAUAAGACGUAAUUUGAGUGUUUGAUGACUUAAUAUUUAUUAUUUUAUAAUUUAAGUUAAUUUUAAAUAAAAUUAUUUUUAAAUUAUUAGUUUAAAACUUAUUAUUUAUUUUUUAUUUAAGUAUUAAAUUAUUUGAUAAAAUUAAUUUAAAAUUUAUUUUAAAUUAUCAAUAUAUUUAUCUUAUUAAUUUUAACUAAUUUUUAUAUUUUUACUAAUCUUAAAAAAUAAAUUUGUUUAUUAAAUAUCGUAUUUAAAGUAUUAGAAAUAUAUAAGAUAACUGCAAAAAUAAUUAUUAUAAAAAAUGAAUAUUGUAAAUAUGAAGUCAUAGUUAUAAAUUAUACUCUCACUAAAUAUGAAUAAAUAAGAUAAAAAAAAAUUUAAGAUUAAAAAUAAAUUAACUAUUUUGAUUUAAUAUUUAAAAUUAUUUUUACUUUAAAAUGUAAUAUUAAGUUAUUUUAUCUGACUUAAAUUUAAGUCAUUAAAUCAUUAAAUUAAUAUAUAUACACCAAACACCCACUUUAUCAAUAAUAACAACAUUUACUUGUAAGAGCAAUAUUAUUCUUUUCGUGGGUUUGACCAUUUUGUUAUCAUCUUAAUACGAUUAUAAGUGAUGGAUCGAUAAAAACCGUAAAUUAUAUAGUAACAAAAUUGGAGAGGAGAAGUAUUUCCUAUUUAUAAUAGCUAGAUAGGUUUUGGACUCCAUCGAUGUCUUGGAUACAUGACGCAUGAUGUCUAAACUCAAUUAAUUGAUUUGGGUUUUCUGAUCACUAAGGUUAUUACACUAUAUAUGAUUAGGUGAACCUCUUCUUGUUACCAUUAGUUAAUAUAAUUCAACUCUCUUACACAUCUUAAUGCAUGAAUUUUGAUAUACCCCACAAGUGCUAUGCUCAUUAAUUGUUGCGUGCAAAGAACUCAGACUUCCUUACACGACACGUAAUUAAAAGUUGAAAAGAACUUUUUGUGUGGAGGAUGCUGAGACUUCAUCCACUGAAACAAACUUAGGAACCAGUAUGAGUAUCCACUAAUGUCUUUGACAAAUAAAUCUUUUUCCUUUUCUUAACAUGAUUAGUUUGGUUAAGAGCCAUGCAAGGAGGAUGCUGAGAAUUAGUCCACUCACUUUAAAUAUACAUGGUGUGGUUAGUUUCCACCUUAGAUAUGAAAAAGAAUAUGCUUUGCUGAAUAAGAAAUUCACAGUAGUUGUACUUGAAAUAUUACAUUAAGCUUAAUUUGUACAAUAUGGCAUUUUUUUUUAAUUUUUCCUGCAAAUGGAUGCAAAGAUUGCAUUUAGUUUAAAAGUCCCAUUCUGAAUCAACCAACUCUCAAUCCAAACCUAGGACUCCUUGAUUUGCAUAAUGCCGUUUUCUUCAUUUGCCCUUUCUCCAAUAGAACAUGACUGCAUAAAAUAUUCUUACACUUUAAAGACCUAAAUUUUGAGUUAGAUUAUGGUCACUAUUUGUAUCAUAGUAUCUGGGAAAAGUAAGUUUUGAUUCACUAAUAUGAAAAUAUGUAGAAAAAAAAUCUCAAAUAUUUUAAAUUAGUAUUAUCUUCAUCUAUUUAAAAAUAAUUUGAAAUAUAUACAUUUUUUAAUGAGUCAUUCAAUUAUUCCAAAAAAUGUCUAUUUACUUACCAUGUCAUUCAAAUAAAUUGACAAUUAGACUAUUUCAUAUAGAUAUUUCCAUUCUUUUUAGAUAUUUUAUUAUUAUUAUUUUAUUUGAGAAUUUUUUUUUUCUUUAGGAACAUUAUAAAGUAAGAAUUUGAAAAAGAGAGAGUUUAUUAAAGUAUUAAUAAGUUAAAAAUAAAUUCAUAUUCUUGAUAAUAAAUAAACCAAUAAUAAAUUUGUAUUUAUUAUAUAAUAUUAAUAAUUGUUUAAUUUAAUAACAAAGAAAAUUUAUUGUAAGAGUUUUUCAGAUAUAAAAUAUUUUACAAUAUGAUUGUACUUUGAUAUAUAGUAUACAAAUAAAUAAAUAAAUAAAUAAUUAUUUUAUAUUAAAUAAAUUAAUGAUAAUUAAAAUAAUUAUAUAUUAUUUAACAAACAACCUUAUUACCUUUUGAAUUGGUAAUUAUGAUUAAAUAAGAUUUGUUUGAUAAUAUUUCCUCUUAAAAUUUUAGGAAAUAAAAAAAUAAUGGUGUUUGUUUCUAGAGAAAAAAAAAAUCUCAAAUAAUAAAAUAAUAAAAUAAUAAAAUAAUAAUACAAUAUUUUGAAAAAAAUGGAAACAUUUACGUAAAGUAGUCUAGUUGUCAAUUUAUUGAAUGACAUGGUAAGUAAAAUGAUAUUUUUGUAAAUAAUUGUAUAACUCAUUAAAAAGUACAUAUAUUUUAAAUUAUUUUUAAAUAAAUGAAGAUAAUACUAAUUUAGAAUAUCUGAGAUUCUUUUUAUCAUAUAUUUUCAUAUUAGUGAAUCAGAUCCCACUUUUCCCAUAAUAUUUUACAUUUAUUUAUUUUUUUAUCUCAAAAUUAUUGUGGUUCAAAGUUCUAUAAACAUAUAUUAAUUAAACACUAACAAAUCUCUUUUGGACAAUCUUCUUCUCAUCCUUCUUAGAAUUUUAUUAGAAGGCAAGAGUCUCACCAAGCUUGAUGUAACCAAAGUACUGUAUGCCCAAAAUUAGGCUAUAUUAACAGGAAUGAUGUUUUGAAUCAAAUGCUAUGUUGCAGCUGAUGUACGAGACCAUGAAAAUUAAGGUGGAGAGCGUUGUUGAGAAAGGGACCAUUCCCCAUGAUCAUUUCACCAAUGAGCAGGAAAAACAAGCUUUCAGCAGAUGGACUGAUGAGUUUACACAAGCAAAUCACCCUGCUGUGGUUCAGGUUUGCUUCAAUGCAACUCCUAAACUCCUAAUCCCAUAAAAUCUGGCAUUACUCUUCAUUGCGUUUUAUUAUUUUUAUUUUUGGGGGAAAAAUGUGCAACCACUAAUGAAUAGGUAGGUUGAGAUCAGGUUCUGUUGGAGGGUAACAAGGACAUGGACAUCACUGGCCAUACAAUGCCCAACCUCGUCUAUGUAUCCAGAGAGAAAAGGCCCGGUUCACCCCACCAUUUCAAGGCUGGUGCCCUUAAUGUCCUGGUAAGCAAAACCAACCAUCCUCAAGACUUGUUAAAUUUCCAUGUUUGUAACUUUAUACAUGUUGGAAUCUUUAGAAGCGUUGCAAACCCCUUAUACCCAUUUCAAAAUGAGAACAAAAAAUGAAAGAAAAUCAAUCUUUUAGGGUGUUGGUGAUUAUUAUUGAAGUAAUUAUCUCAUAGUCUAAAAGCUUCUAUUAGGAUCCAUGAGAGACUAAGAGAUAAAAAUUGAAAAAUUCUCCUUCACAAGGUAGAAUAUUUUUUUAUCUGAUUGAUAACAAGCUUUCUUAAUCUUAGAGGCCAAAUAUCUGAUAAAAUAAUUCAAUGAUAUUAUUCUGUUUUUGUCUUCCAGAUUCGAGUGUCAGCCACCAUGACCAAUGCACGAGUAGUCCUGACUCUCGACAGCGACAUGCACUCAAAUGAUCCUCAAACACCUCUUCGCGCCCUGUGUUAUCUCUUGGACCCUGAUAUGGAUCCAAAUCUCGGGUUCGUUCAGUUUCCUCAAGCCUUCCAUGGGAUCAACAAGAAUGAUAUUUACGCUGGUGAGUGUAUACAUGUGUAUCAAAUUCAUCCCAUUGGAAUGGACGGCCUAGCAGGCCCCAUGCAUGUAGGGACUGGAUGUUUUUUCCGGCGAGAAGUCUUCUCUGGUGGCCCAUCCAGAACCCCCGGACAGAGCUCAGAUCAUCUCGUGAGCAAGUCAAUCGGGAACAAAGAAGUUUUAGCAUCAGCACAUCAUGUUUCAGCAUGGAAUUAUGAGAAUCAAACCAAUUGGGGCACCAAGGUGAUUAUAUGUAUAAGCUCUUUUGUUAGUACUAGUUUGAGUUUAUGAAAUCAGGAAUAAAGGAAAACGAACCAGAUCCAAUUAAUUAAACAAGAAUAUAACAUACUAAUUAUCGGUAUUUCCAAAUUGUGUAGAUGGGAUACAGAUAUGGGUCAUUGUGUGAGGACUACUGCACGGGCUAUCGGCUGCAUUGUGAAGGAUGGAAGUCCAUUUUUUGCAAUCCUAAGAGGCCUGCAUUUCUGGGGAGGGCACCGAUUAACCUCAAUGUCUGUCUGAAUCAAUCCAAGCGGUGGGGGGUUGGCCUCCUUGAGGUUGGGUUUUGCAAGCAUAGCCCAAUCGUCUUCGGCUUAAUGGAGAUAGGCCCUCUCAUGGGUCUAUGUUACGCAAACUAUGCCUUCAGGCCCCUCUGGUCCAUUCCAAUCACCAUCUAUGCCUUUCUCCCCCAGCUAGCUCUACUCAAAGGUGUCUCAAUCUUCCCCAAGGUAUGUGUCCAUUCAUCCAUGAGCAUUAUAGGUUUCAGAUUAUACACUUAAAUGUGGUUUAAUUUACAGGUCUCAGAACCUAGGUUUUUCUUAUACAUAUUCCUUUUCGUUGGAGCAUACACACAAGAUUGUCUAGACUUCUUAUUAUCUGGAGCUACAAUCCAGAGGUGGUGGAGCACCCAGAGGGUGUGGAUGAUGAGGGGGGUCUCAAGUUUCUCAUUCUCUUUAGUCGAAUACUUGCUCAAAUGCAUUGGCAUUUCCCAAUUCGGAUUCAAUGUGACAAGCAAGGUGGUUGACAAGGAACAAAGCAAGCGGUACAAGCAAGGGAUUUUCGAGUUUGGAGUCUCAUCACCCUUGUUCUUGCCGCUAACAACAGCAGCCAUAAUGAACUUGGUCUCAUUCCUAUGGGGCAUGGUACUAAUCUUCAAGAAGAAAAACCUGGAAGGCAUGCUUUUGCAGAUGUUGUUAGCUGGUUUUGUGAUGGUGAACUGCUGGCCAAUAUAUGAAGCCAUGGUCUUGAGAACUGAUAGAGGAAGGAUGCCCACCAGAACUACUAUUAUUUCCAUAUUCUUGGCUUGGGCUCUUUGCAUAAUUGUUUCUGUCAGUCCAAAAAUAUGAUAUAAUUCGGAGCUUUGCUAUGUAUUAGUACAUUUAUUUAGUUGACUUUGUCCCACAUAAAUAUAAAAAUAUAAUUAUUGUGUAUUGAUAAUUCGGGGUCAAAAUUUCCAUUGUGUCUCUUAGUUUCUACUCUUCAAAUCCUCCGUUGGAUAUUUGUCUUUUCCAAAUUGUUCGUAUUUGAAGAUGGCUAGAGUGGGUAAGUACAUUUGAGGCGGAUGAUGACAAACAUUGAUUAACAUUAUUUUAAAUUUUUAUAUUAUUAUUGGUAAAUGAAAUUGAAGUUUAAAAGUGUAAAACAUUGUGUUUAAAACAUUUGGAUUUAUUUCUAAUCGAUCAAAUCAAAGGGUAACAGUUUAUGUUUCACUCAGGUUUUUUUUUCAAUCUUGUUUGACUGAUUAGACUUUGAUCACACUUCUGAAUUUUCAUGAUUUUCUAAAUAAAUCUCAGUUGUUGGAUGAGUUUCAAAACCCUAAUGCUUAAGCCCUUUUUCCAAAAGUGUAGAGGAUGAUUGCGAGUGGAAACCCUGUUUUUGAGCUUCAAGUUUUUCUUACCAAAUUAGGAAGUGUUUGUCUUGAGAGAAAAUCAUUUGAGAUUGAGUUGAAAAUCUAUUUUUGAAUGAGAAAUUUUUGUCCCAAAUGGGUUGAUUCAUUGAGUUAUUCAUCCUUACUCUCAUAUUAUUCUCAUAUUCAACAUAUUGGGGGUAAAACCUAAGUUUCUUCUUGUAUGGACUAAAGAAGAGGUGGAGAUUAAAGUUUGGAGUGGAUUCUAAGUAUUUCCUGAAAGAGGAAAAGUCGAAGCUAAAGUUUGAAGAUUCUAGGCAAGUGGUUCGGAAGAGGAUGGAAGGCUUGAACUAGGUAAAACUUUAUAUUUAAUUAAUUUUUCUUCAUAGUAGAUUAUUUGAUUGCUUGAAACUAGCUAGUGGUUUUUUUUAUAUCUUUAGAGGUUUUCUAUGUUAAAAAAAUUGGUGUUAUUGUCUCUUAAUUUUAUCUUCUCUUUUGAUUAGCAUUUCAUUAGUUUAUGAUAUUUUCAUUAAGUUAUAUCGAAUAAUAUUUAAUAGAGCAUAAUUUGAUAUUUUCUAUUGGAGCUUUGAUUGAUAUAUAUAAUUGGAGCUUUGAUAAUCUGAUAUUUAAUUGGAGCAUUGAUAAUCUAAUAUUUAAUUGAAGCAUUGAUAAUUUGAUAUUUAAUUGGAGUAUAUAUAUAUAUAUAUAUAUAUAUAUAUAUAUAUAUAUAUAUAUAUAUAUAUAUAUAUAUCAGUUUUUGUUGAUCGAUGUCACUCGACAUGUGAAAAUGAGUGUUUGUUUUGAUGUAUAUCUUAUAUAUCUGUUUGCAUAGUGUUGUUCCAUUUGUAUGUGACUUGUAUUGAAUAAUUUGUUUGAAAGAGUAUUUGUGCAUUUAUUGUUGUUUGUGAUUUGUUUUUUUGUUCAUAGGGUUGAAAAAGAAGAUUAAUUUAUAAAAGAAAAAUAAGGGAAUUAUAAGCAUUUGUGAGAUAUCAUCUCUAAUUAUUGCAAAAACACCUAUCCACCCCCCUUAGGUGAAAUUCAUCUUCAAUUAUUCUUCAAAAUACUUGUAGAAAUCCACAGCAAUUUAACACAAAUAACCAAUAAAAAAUUUAAUCAAGAUUAGUUAAAAAACAAAUUAGAAGGCAAAAACAAUACAACAGGUUAAUUCGAAUUACAUAGUAUAUCAAUCUUUCAUACACGAGAAGGGUUUUGAAGCAACCCACCAUGAUCAGAAGGAGAAAUAUUACUGCAUGCUCAGGACUCAGCAGGCGUAUUUCAUGGUUCUCUUCUUUGUAUUUCGAUAGGAAACACACAAGUAUUGUAUAGCCAAAAUUCUGUUAGAUGUGUUAAUUUGGUUUACAUAUGCAUUGAAAUAUUAAAAAAAUAAGGAUUGUUAGAUAAUAAUUAGUACCAGAAUUCCUUUUAAAUUGAGUUACAACCGUGCAAAAGGAAAAAAAAAAUCAAAAUUUUCCCAAAAUAGAAAAAAAAUUAGAGCACAAAAUUACCAUAAAAAUUUAUGAUAAUUAAUUUGUAUGUUAUAGUGACCUUUGUCUUUUUAAGAAAGAGCAUUUGUACCUAGCUGAUGUCUUUAUUCACAUUUAACAAGAAGCAAAGUCUAAAAGGAUGGUUAAUUUUAUUAGCCUUGAGAGUUUGAAUAAAUGCACAUACUCUCAAUGAUUUAAAAUUUUAUCAAAUGACUUAUAUAUAUUUUUUAUUUGAUUUUUUAUUUAUCUCAUCUCUAAUUCAAAAUAAAGGAGGUAUUUGACGAAUUUUCAAAUCAACGAGGAUUAGUUGUAUUUAACUAAAACUCAAAAAAGAUGAGUGAAAUUGACCCUAAAAUUUAAUCCAUGUGUGAGUUUGAAUUGGAAGUAUAUUAAAUCACAAUGAACAAAGAUUUUUACUAAAGACUAAAGAGAACUUGUUAUGUAUCCGUAUAAAGACAUGCAUAUAAGAAGAGGACCAUUCUCAACCUCCAACACCAAAGGAAUGGAAGCUGUGAGUGUAAUUGAGAAGAAGGGCAAUGGCGCCACCAAACAAAGUCUUCCACUCCACACAAGGGUUUUGAUGCCCCACGCUUGGGCAAACAGGGUUUUUGCGUUUGUAUACUUGUGUGCCAUGUUAGCUUUACUGUAUCAUCACUUUAUUCAUCUACUUCAUUCCACCUCCAUGGUCUCCAUCUUCCUUCUUCUGGUUGAUGCAGUACUGGCCUUCAUGUGCUUGGCUUCAUAGGCCUGCCGCAUGUGUCUGGUUUUCAUUGAACACUUUCAGCAUUACGCCGAGGAGAGCGAGUAUCCGAGGUUAGAUGUGUUUAUAUGCACUGCUGAUCCAUACAAGGAGCCACCCAUGUCUGUGGUGAACACUGCCGUAUCUGUGAAGGCAUAUGAUUAUCCAAUAGAGAAGUUGUCGGUAUAUGUAUCAGAUGAUGGAGGGUCCAAGCUAAAUCUCUUCGCUUUCAUGGAGGCUGCUAGGUUUGCCACCCACUGGCUGCCUUACUGUAGGAAGAAUAUGGUUACGGAGAGGUGUCCCGAGGCUUAUUUUAGAUCAAAUCACCCACUGGCGUGGAGUCUUCUUUGGUGGGCCAUUAGAAACCCCAGAACUGAACCAGGAUCAUCUAGUGAACAAGUCAAUCAAUUCCAAAGAAGUUUUAGCAAUGGCACACCGUGUUGCAGACUGCAAUUUUGAGAAGCAAACCAAAUGGGGUGCUGAAGUAAGCUUGUUGGUUAUUUUAAUUCUAGAUAAUAUUAAAAGAAGGGAAGAGUUCUGCUGGAUUAUCUACUGUGGAUUAGUAGAAUACUUUAUUUUUCAGCAUUGUGUGAAAAGUGUUUUUGAAAACAGUUAUGAAAACUAGUUUUUAAAAAUUUAUUUGAUGGUUUGUAAAACAAAAACCCUUUUGAGAAUCUUAAAUGUUUUUAACCUACUUUCUAUAUUUUUUAAAUAUGUUUUAAAAACAACAUUUAUAUAUAUUAUUUUAUUUUUAAUUAAUUUUCAUAUUUGUAUGAUUAUUUUUUAAAACCGUUGGUAAAAACAAGUGAAAACUAUUAAAACAACUAAGAGAUCUAGUUUUAUGAACGCAAUUUUUUUUUGGAAGAUUCACGAAUUAUUUUUGGAAAGGAAAGGUUCCACAUGCUAUAUAUAUAUAUGGGAAAACACAAGAAGCAUAGACAGUUUUGGAAACGGGUAGAUUUGGGACCAUCUAGAGGAGACCUUUAGAGUCUCCACAAAAAAAGGCAGUCGUGCCAUGAAAAAGGAAGGCCUCCACUCUGCUAUAGCAGGCAUGAUCAUAAAGAAUAAUAUCAGACACCAUGAGGAGAGGAGGGGAAGAGAUCAGAGGGGUUCUUGGUUUUUGGUGAUAAAAAGGCUUGGGCAGGAGGGAAACGAGAGGAAAAAGGAAAGGGAUGAGCAUCUCCACAACACAUAAAACUGGAAUAGGGCCAUCUGGACGUGCUGCAGAGGGAGACACAGGGGGCUUUGGCUGGUGGCCGAGGAAAGAUGAGUGCUUGAAGACGAGCACAUCUUGCACGGGGAAGAGACUUCCAGGUAUUAGCAUUGUGGAUUUCCUAUUCAUCUUUCUUAUUAUAUCAGUCUUCAUGCAUUUAUCUGGUCGUUUUUGGCUUUCAUUUGUUACUUGGGUAUAUUAUUGCUCUGUUUUCUUUGUUACCUUCUCUUGGCAUUCACUCAAAGAUAUUUGGAUAUGGUUCGAGUCAUGCCACCGACCAUGAAGCCCUUUGAUUUCAGCAUGAAAUGGGUUCCCACAUAUUGAGUCUUUUGUUUGUUUGUUUGUCAUUUUGAACGUACUCUAUUUGGGGUCGUUCAUCUCUGUAUUUGGUAUCUCAAUCCUUGUCUUUGUUUCUGGGUCACAUCUUUGGGGUUUGCUCUGAAUGUCUCGUUUGUGCUUUGGUAUGCCCGAGGAAAGAGGCUGCGUGUUUCAAUUUACUGCUAAAGAUUUGUAAGUCUAGUGGAGAGUUAUUUGUACUCUGCAAGGGAGCUGCUACAUAUUUGCAGUUUUAUUUGGAGCCUAAUGAUGCAAACUAACCAGUGGGUCAUCAAGAUGUAGGAUAUAAGCAUUUGUUCUAAGCAGUAUGCUCGGAGGAUCAUGAGAUGUCUAUAUGUUCUGCAUGUUCACAGUACGAGGAAUCAGUUGGAGUUCGCCUAUAUUCCCCUAAUAGGAGCUAGUCUCUAAUCACAAUGCUAGUGAAGUAAUUCACUGAAUACCUUUCAGAAACCUGCUCCCAAUGGGUGAUUUGAAAGAAAACUUGGUGAUGGAGAAGACCCUAUCGAUGAUGAGUCGAUUCCAAUCGCUCCUUUGUUCUUAAGAGAUUGAUGAAAAGAAUGCGAAUGCUGUUACCAGAUGAAAGUGCCAAGAGGCAUGGAGUUGAAAAUUAAUCCGCAGGAAAGCAUGAACACGGGUAUGGCAAAGGUGAGUUAUCCUAAUGAUGUUAUUGGGAAUGGUUUGAUUCAUUAUGGUCUUCCGAAUGGUUCAGGAACUGCUACAGGGGACAAAGCAUAUUUGAAAUUUCAAUUUUAGGACAUACUCAAAAUGGUUGCAGCGAGGAGGCCUUACAAUUUUGUCAAAGAAUGCGUGGAAACAUUGCCAUAGCCGACCAAGCCGUCCUUUGCCUCUUAAACCUAUGAUGAAUCCAUUAUGAGAUCGCCACCAUCCCCGAUAUGUCGGACCAUCGCAAUCUUUUGAGUUUGAAUAUCCUACACUGCAUGUAUUACCAAGAAACAACCUUUCAGCAUUCUCACCGCUGUUAGCAUCUCUUGUAGAGCUAGAAGACAGCCCACAACAGAACCCCCAACUUCUGUACAAAAGCAUCUAAAGAUAGCUCCAAUGCCAGGGGUUGAUGAUUUAAUUGAUCAAACGGCUGUCACAACUGGCCUUGAUUUUUUUUUUUUUAAUGGAAGCCACUCAGCCUUCUGUUGUUGAUGCAAAUUCAGAAUGAGAAAUUGAAGUUUAGAGUGAGAUCGUUUUUCACGAAAAGGAAACAGGCAUUGAUGAUAGUGAAUAAUGGUGUUCCCCUUAAUCAAGACCUCAUCAGUAACUUUCCCUCUCUGAUCCUGUGCGUGGAGCCAUGGAAGUCUGUGCCCAGCUCAGACCCAUUGUCAACAUCUCGGCAGAAUACUCCUCCAGAUGCAGUUUUUUCUCACCUAGAUCUCACAUCACCAUGAUCACAUGCGGAUCAAUGUCUACUUUGAAAUUUGUGGACACCAGGAGUUGAGGUCUACUUAGAAGCUGGGAGUUGGGUGAAUGCUCUAAAAUAAAGCCUGAUUUCAUCAAAACACGGAGAAUUGGCGGGCACAAGUAAGAAAGCUGGACUGUAAGUCAUUCUAGGUUUAGUGUGAUUGUGUUGUGUCCUAAGGUAUUGAGCCUAUUCGCGAGGAGACUCUGUGUCCAAGACGAAGAAGUACACACGCCUGUCUUCCCCCCGAGUCCCACUUCCACAUGAAAGUGCAUGGCCACCUUUGGGUGUGCUAUUCUCAAAGCUCACAGCUGCUGGGCAAAUGAUGAAGAUGACUUGGUCCAAGGUGAAUCACGCCGGCCACUCCCACCCAAAGCUUCUGAUAUAAGAUGAGCUAGUACAGUUCAACCCUGACAACAAUCACUAGCUUCAAUGAGUUUACAGUAUAUGUGCUAACACGAAGCAAGGGGUGAAUUAGAUUAUGAUGAAUACAGAUCAACAUGGGGACGAGAAGGUCUGGGUCAACCAUCUUCAAAGAGCUUGUGCACCUUACCACUAAGUUUACCAGCUUGGAGAAUACGUAUACCAACUAUGGUAGUGAUAGAUGCUUUCCUACAGAAUAUAUAGGAGUUAGAUGGGUACAUGGAAUCUGAAAAAUUUAUGCUAAGGAAAGGGACAGAUAUUUAGAGGUUCGAGAAUGCGGAGUCAUGUAAAAAGAUGCUCAACUCCCGGGAAUCAAUACACAAGCUAUACCAAACAAUCAGUCCAUGGGUUCACGUCCUCAACCAACCCAAGUAAGGCAUGAAAUCAGCCAAUGCGGAGCCAGAACUACUUAUUGUAACAUUACCUUAAAGUUUGAAAAAAACAACCUCCUGAAAGUCAGGAUUUGUUGUCUAGAGUGCAAAAUGUGAUAAAAGAGCCUCACGAUGAUAGCCUUCAUCUGAUAGAAACCAACAGGUUGCGUAAUCUUGACAUCAAAUCGUUUGCUCUGACUUCCAUGAUGAUAAGCCACUGAUGGGAAAAUCACAGUUUGGCAAUGCAUGAAAAUGCAAUACUGAUAUGGGUCCAACAUGGAUACAUAAAUAUUAUCAAGAAAAAAGCCUGAACUGAGAAGGUUAAAUACCCAUGUUGAUCAUCUAUCUAAACAGUUGGAAGUCUUCUUCUCAAGCUGGCAAUCAUCCUUCAUACAGUUCGUCUAGAAUAGUCGUCUAAAGAGGAAGCUGCUUCCAGGUUUCAGACCGAAUCUUAUCCAGUUUGGGGAGGACGUCGACACCAAUUAUUAAAUGAGAUAUGCAGUGAAAGAGGUAACAAUGGGGAUGGUGAUCUUUGUCAUGAUAAGGGUUUUGAAGGUCACGAUUCAUGCUCCAAAUGCUCAGAAAUUUAAAUUUGCGGAAUCAGGGAGAGCAGGAAAUGUCUGAGCAAAUCUAAAUAGCAAAGGAGAAACAAGAGGAUGGUGGAGUUUGGUAUCUUCUAGGAAGCCACUCUCGAAAGUCCAGAAAUGUAGGAUCCAUCAGAAAGCCUCUAGCUUACUGCCCCUUUGCCUUCACACACGCGAAGAAGUUGCUGAAUCCUAUUGACUGAGGGUUAAUUUCUGAGUCUGGGCAAUUUGAUACGCCUGAAGAAUGAGAAGUUAUUCGGGAAACUGAACAUCUGAAGAUCAAUAAAGACACAAGCACUCAGUUGAAGAAAAUUGUUUGUGAGCAGGUUGACGACAGAAGCAGAACUCAGAUGUUAAUAUAAGAGAAAUUGCUUAUACACAUUUCCAGAUCAGAUGAUAAGUUGAAAUUGCUUUUCCGCCAGCAUUUUCUCUCUUCUGCCAUUAUGAGGCACCGUUAGAAUGAUGACAAUGGUUCUACUUCCUCCAAUGUGGUAAAUCCAAAUGACUUCUCAUCACUCUCUGAACCUGAAUUAGAAGAAAUAUUGGAAGACAUCAGUUGGAGUGCACCAAGUUCUGGCUUGGGUUGUGAUGGCAGUAGCAUGAAAACAGAAACUUUAGGAAGAGAUGGCAGUAAAAUUCAUUUCUCCACAGUUGUUUUGAGUGAAUUGAGUUUGCUGACAGUGACAACUGACGUCAGUAUGCAGAAUUCCAUUUCAGCAAUCUACAGAAGCAUCCUCUGGCAACCCUAGCAAUUCAGUUUCAAAAGCAGCCCGGACACUAAUCCAGCUUGGCCACCUUGGUACACCUCCUCUGUUUGCUUCUUUGAUUUGGGAAUCUACUGUUUUGAAUAGAAUUUUCAAAUCAUUUUUCAACUAAACAUUUCUAUCUUUUUAAACUCCAUCCUUAGACUUGUUAGGCACUAAAAUCUUUAUUUUUAACAAACUUUUUGUUGCCAUCUUCCUUUCGGCAUGCAUUUUCACUAUCUUCAACUAUUUUCUUGAUUAUCUCGAUUUUCAACAAGCAUGAAUACACUUCAAGAUUCCAAAUAAUGGAAUUCAUAGAAUCAAUUCAUCUAAAAUCGAAUUGGGCCUUGGUGGGGGCCCGACAUUCUUGACAUUUUUUUUAUAUUGAUUUAAAUGCGAUGAUUGCUUGAUAUUUGAUUAAUUUUGAUUCUUAUAUGUGAUAUACAUGAGUAUGCUUUAUACCUAUUGUCAAGCUUUUUUUUUUUUUUUUUUUCUCCAUGAAUUGCUUAGCUUGCUACCAGGUACACUCUCUAUCACCCACCUUCUAAAUUCUGUGAAUAUGCUUGCCAUUGUAAACUAUAUAUAUGUUUGAUAGUACUUGGGUGUCUUGAUAUUUGUUUCAUUGUUCGAUUAUUUCUGAUGAAACGCAUGUUGGGUGAUAUACUAUUUGAACCGACUUUGAUGUUUUGUGAUAACGCUUAAAAUGCAACUCAGGUACACACCCUUUGACUCUCUUUUAUGAUCAUGAUUUGACCUUCUGACUUAGUAUGUUAAUUCUAAAAUUACCUUAGUCCACCUAGGUAUCUUCAAUCAAUUAAUUAAUUGUUACAUUCCCCUCAACUUAGUCAUUAAAGACAGAGUUUAGGGCUUAUUGGGGUGUUACCUCUUAGAGGUACCUUUCCAAUAGGUAGCUUGAUCCUCGGACCAAGACUCGGGUUUUUUAAGACUUACUUUUCUAAAACUAUGGAGUCACGUUUUUACAGUUUUCUUUUUUGUUUUAUUUUCCCUUGUAAAAUAAAAUAAGUGAUGACUCCAACUUUUCCAAAACUAAUUUUUCACUAAUAAAAAUGAGUCUUGCCAUUAAGUGGGGACACACGUGAAAAAUAUGGUUCCACAAUGUCCUAUGUGAUAGUUGUUGUUUCUUUAGACUCAUACCAUUUCAUUUGAAUUAUGCAUGUACAAUGUGUAUUAGGAUACACUAUCAUUAUUAUUUGUCAUUAUACUUGUUCUAACCCACGCUAGCAUUUUUGAAAGCACCUUAUAAAUUAUGCAUGUUGUCCAGGUACGCCUUUCCCAUUUUUUAUCCUUUUAGUUCUAUAAAUAGAUAUAUUUUUUGUGUAAAAUACCCUCAUGUUUGAUUGUGUUUUGAAUUGCUUUGACUAGUGUUUGGUUUCUUGAAUACAAUAGAAUGCAUGUUGUAUGUUAUAUAUCUUGUUGCUUGGACUAACUUUGAUGUCUCAUGAUAGUGCUUAAGAAACAAUCCAUGUGUGCACCCUAACUCUUCUUUAUGAUUACGAUUUGACUUUUUUGUUUGGCAUAAUAGAGUUUUAAAAUCACUUUAACUUACCUAGGUAUCCUCAAUCAACCAACUAAUUGUUAUACUUUCCUCAACUUAACUAAUAGACACCUUUUUAGGGCUUAGAGAGGUGUUACCUCUUUGAGAUAACUUCCUGAUAGGUAACUUGAUCCCAUGAUCUAAAUUCGGUUUUUUCAAAGAUAUGUUUUUCCAAAAUUCAAGGAGUCAUUUUUCUUAAGGUUUUAGUUUCUCAUUUUAUUUUCCCUAUAAAAAAUUAAAAAUAAGUGGCGACUCCAGUUUUUCAUAAAAUACAGUUUUUCAUAUUAAAAAACGAGUCUCGCCGAUGAGUGGGGAUGCACAUGAAAAAUGUGGGUCCGCACUAGGUUUGCCACCCUUUUGCUACCUUACUACAAGAAGAACAAGAUUGUAGAGAAGUGUUCAGAGGUAUAUUUUAGAUCUAAUCUCUCGUGGUUUUCUAAGAUUGAUCAAAUUAAGGUAACAUAAUUUUUUCAGGGCCUACACCAACAUCAAUCAAAUUUAAUUUUUUUUUUCAUAUUUAAUUAACCAAAUUAUUUCUUUGUACAAAAUACAUGUAAUCAUGUUAUAUAUUUAUGUGGAGAACAAAAAACAAAGGGUUCCUCUUUCAUUCAAACGAGAUAGUGUUGCAAAUGAUGUAUCAGAAUAUGAGAGAUAGGAUGGAGAAUGUUGUCCACAAAAGGAGCAUUUGCCAUGAUUAUAUCACUAAUGGAGGAGAAGGUGAAGCUUUCAACAGAUGGACAAAUGGAUUUACUCCUCAAAAUCAACCUUCAGUUAUUCAAGUUUGCUUCCUACUCCCCAAAAAUUCUAAAAGCAUAUGUAACAAUAAAAAUAUCAGUAACUACGGAUAUACUAUACUUAAAUUUUAUGGAUAUAUUUAAUAUAUCGGGGAAAUAUUGUGGAUAUUUUGACACAAAAUAUAGAUGGAUGAAAAUUCAUAAAAAUAUUAGAAAAAACUCAAAAAAUGAUAUAUAUAUAUAUAUAUAUAUAUGUAUAUGUAUAUAUAUAUAUAUAAGAUAUAUGAUAAACUAAAAUAUAUGUAAUAUGCAUCUUAUGAUUCGAAGACCAACAUAGCUUUACUAGCAAGUGAAUUAAAUUCCAUGCAGCAUACCACUGUUCAAGUCUUGGUGGUGUGCUUUGGCUUUAUUAUUUUUCUAAUCUUUGUAAGUGAAUCCCACAUCUGAAAUGGGAAGCAGAAUGAAGCUAUAUUUAAGAAGGGAUGCUCCCAUCAUGUGCACUGUUGAGGUGUGGAUUGAGCUGCAGCAAGGAUGCAUGCUUUUGAGCAUAUGUAAACAAGCACAAUAAUGUAGCUUCUUUAGGUGUUGUCACAUGUCAUGAUUUGGCCCACUUUAAGUGGGGUUCAGUAAAUAUUGCCCACUAGUUAACGAUAAGAAGUACCACAACACCUGUAGGGUUCUAGUAAUUAUAUUGCCCGCUAGUUAAAGAUAAGUAACACAAAUUAGUGAUUAAUCACCACUACUGACAGCUAUCACUUUGCCCCACCAUUUCAAAGCUGGUGCACGUCCUUGCAAGCCCACUAAUGGCUCUAACCGAUCAGAGCCAAGGCCUUCCUCUUCACACACGGGCGUUACUGCAUCGCACCAGCGCAAACCGAGUAUUUGCAGUCCUCUACUUGUGUGCCAUCUUAGCUCUGUUGUAUCAUCACUACCUUGCUCUACUUAACUCCACCACCAUAGUCUCCUUCCUCAUUCUUCUCGCUGAUGCAGUGCUGGCUUUCAUGUGGGUAACCGCACAGGCCUUUCGGAUGUGUCCAACCCAACGUCAGGUUUUCAUCGAACACCUUCAACAUAUGCAUGUUGCCGAGGAGAGUGAUUAUCCGGCACUGGAUGUGUUUAUCUGCACUGCUGAUCCAUACAAGGAACCACCUAUAGGUGUGGUGAACACUGCUCUAUCUGUGAUGGCGUACGAUUAUCCAGUAGAGAAAUUGUCAGUAUAUGUAUCAGAUGAUGGAGGUUCGCAGCUGACCCUCUUUGCUUUCAUGGAGGCUGCUAGGUUUGCAACCCAUUGGCUACCUUUUUGUCGGAAGAACAAGAUUUUAGAGGGUGUCCCGAGGCCUGCUUAGGGUCCAAGCCCUCAUCAAGGCUCCCUGAGGCUGAUCAGAUUAAGGUAAUUAACUUUAGAGAUUCAAUGAUAUGUGAUAAAAUUUUCAUGAUUAGGAUCAAAUAUAAUGUCUAGUGGAAGAAGGGAAUACAUUUAAUCUCAUCAGCUUGAACAACACUCCAAAUUAACAUGACUCAUAAUUUGCAUAUUAAUUGGUAUUUUCUUCUACAAUUCUCGUGACUUGAUUUCUAUUUGGAGUUAGUUUUUACUUUUUAGCAAAUACAAGCAGAGUCUUCAAUUCAUACUAUUCAGCAAUUAACCGAAGGUUUACACAUUCAAUUAUCUGAUCAGUAUAGGCAAACCACAAAAAAGUCCACUUGAUGAAUCUUCACAAUUGGAGUUAUCACCUUCUUCUACACAUAUCUUUAAGCUUCACCUAUUUUUCAAAACUGAAAUCAGUAAAUUACCAAGAUAAUAUUGUUUUAUGUUGGAAUUUGGAAGCAUCCUAAUUGGACUUCUCUCUUGGAGGAUAUCAUAACCACGUUCAGAGAAGUCAGACCCAUAUGCUGUGCGUUGAGAUCUUGCUAGACCAAGUGACAUGGUGGUUCCCACCUUCAACGGAAAAUAAAAUAUUGUUUUAGUGAUAAAAAUAAUAGAGAUUAGUUGAAACAUUACCAUAGCUGAGAUAACCUUGAAUUAAUUCCACCCUUAUUAUUUUUAAAUCCUAAUAUGACUUGCUUGUUUCUUGCUCCUCGCAUAUUCGAUACAGUUUCCUUUCACCAACGCUGACGUAAUCUUUUCAUGAUCCUUCAUAUCUGGAACCACCAACAUUUGACUAACGUUACCUACUAUAUUAUACACUGUUGCAAAUUAUUCUACAACAUUUGUAAUUAGGAUAUAUAAAUAAUUAAUCAUAUAUAGUAAUGUUUAGAGGUUAAUAAUAAUCAAAAUCAUUCCUGAAUUAUGAUGCAGCUGAUGUACGAGAACAUGAGAGUUAGGGUGGAGACUGUGGUUAAGAGUGGGAUAAUUAGCCAUGAUUAUAUCAAUAGCAAGCAGGAAUUGGAAGCUUUCAGCAGAUGGACUGAUGGAUUUACAUCUCAGAAUCAUCCUGCAGUGAUUCAGGUUUAUUAUAUUAAUGAAACUUUAAUAUAUAUAUAUAUAUAUAUAUAUAUAUAUAUAUAUAUAUAUAAAAUGAAAAAUUCUGGGUGUGCUCCGCAACGUGGGGCAAUAGAUUUAACUAGAAAAAAGGAGGCCUUUAAUGGAGGCAAAAGAUUUUUAACACUAAUAUGGUGGGGCAUGCAUUGACAACAGGUUUUGUUAGAGUGUGGUCAAGAUGAGGAUGUCAUGGGCCAUACGAUGCCCAACCUUGUUUAUGUAUCCAGAGGGAAAAGCAUCAAGUUACCCCACAAUUUCAAGGCUGGUGCUCUUAAUGCACUGGUAAGCUCACUAAUGGCCAUCGAGCUUUAUGAUUGAUCUUUCAAAAUAAGUGGCCCGCACAACCAUGGGUUUAUAAAUAUAAAUACUUUUGUUUAUAUGUUUUGAAGCUUCGUGUAUCAGCCACCAUGACUAAUGCACCAGUGAUCCUGCCCCUAGAUAGCGAUAUGUAUUCCAAUGAUCCACAGACACCUCUUCGUGCGCUGUGUUAUAUCUUAGACCCCUCUAUGGAUCCCAAACUUGCGUAUGUUCAGUUUCCUCAGAUCUUCUAUGGGAUCAACAAGAAUGAUAUUUAUGGUGGUGAAGCCAGGCAUGGAAUGCUAAUUCAUCCCGCGGGAAUGGAUGGACUGAAAGGCCCUAUGUAUCUAGGUACAGGAGGGUUUUUCCAGAGAAAAGUUUUCUUUGGGGGCCCAUUAGAAACCUCUGAACUGACCCAGGAUCACAUAGCGAGCAAGUCGAUCAAGUCCAGGGAAAUUUUAGCAUCCGCCCACCAUGUUGCAGACUGCAAUUUUGAGAGCCAGACCCAAUGGGGCACCAAGGUAGGCUUGGUUACUACUAGGAUAUAGAAUUAAAGAUGACAGUUUUGAGAUGCUUCUUGUUUAUUUAAAGGGAACAUUGCCACUUUCUAUAAUGUGCAGGUCGGCUUUAGGUAUGGAUCACUGGCUGAGGACUUCUACACUAGCUAUAUGCUUCAAUGUGAGGGAUGGAAGUCCAUUUUUUGCCAUCCUACAAGGCCUGCGUUUCUGGGAAAUUCACCCAUCAAUUUGCAUGACUUUCUGAAUCAAACCAGGCUAUGGUCAAUCGGCCUCCUUGAAGUGGCCUUCUGCAAAUAUAGCCCAAUCACAUAUGGCACCCGCACCAUAAACCUUCUCAGUGGCCUAUGUUUUGCUUACUAUUCCUUAUGGCCCAUUUGGUCAAUUCCCAUUGCGAUCUAUGCCUUUCUCCCCCAGCUAGCUCUGCUUAAGCAUGUCUCGAUCUUCCCAAAGGUAUGCCCUUUUACUAGAAUAAUGGUUAAUAAUAAUAAUAUUGAUAUUUACUGAAAAAAAUUGAAUGGUUUUGCAGAUGUCAGAUCCCUGGUUUUUUGUGUAUAUAUUCUGUUUUCUUGGAGCUUACGGACAAGAUUAUCUCGAGUUAAUAAUAUCUGGGGGCACAACUCAAAGGUGGUGGAACAAUCAGAGAGCAUGGAUGAUGAGGGGGCUCUCGAGUUACUCAAUUGGGUCGGUUGAAUACAUCCUCAAGUCUAUUGGCAUUUCCACAUUCCAAUUCAGUGUGACAAGCAAGGCUGUGGGAGAGGAACAAAGCAAGCGAUACAAGAAAGGGAUGUUCGAGUUUGGAGUCGUAUCACCCUUAUUCUUGCCACUAACAACAGCAGCAAUAAUCAACUUGGUCUCAUUCCUAUGGGCCAUUGCACAAGUCUUCGGGCAAGGAAGCAUUGAAGGUCUACUUCUGCAGAUUUUGUUAGUUGGUUUUGCAAUGGUGAACUGUUGGCCCAUAUAUGAAGCCAUGGUGUUGAGGGCUGAUGAAGGAAAGAUGCCAGUGAAGAUCACAUUGAUCUCAAUUGUCCUUGCAUGGGCUCUUUACUUGGUAUCUUCCAUAGCAUUUUAAGAUAUGGUGACUGUAAUUUUCUCACUGUUUCUUUAAUCAUUUCCUUGGUACCAUAAUGUAUGAUUAAAGAUCUUGUUUUAAGAUCACUAAUUGCUCAGUAAUUCAAAUCAUCAAAAUGAAAGUCAUCUAAUAAAUGAAGCUUUCUUUUCAUGUAUUUUAAGGUAGUUCAGACAGAUAUGGAAUUUUAAGGUAGUUCAGCAGAAUACCACAGCCAAGAAACAAUUAAUCCACUGCCUGAUAAAAAAUUUAUAGUCCAGAAAUAAUUCCAUAUUUCCUCUGGUGUAUACACUCUCAAUCUCAACCAUUGCUUGAAUAUAUAGGCGAUGUUGGAAAAGAGUAGAUUCGAUGAGAUAUUACUGCAUGCUUAGAGAUUUGCUAGCUGUUUUUUUCACGUAAAUAUACAAUGAUCACCAUCUCCUGUGAAUUUGGAAUGUUUGGUUGUAGGUUCGCUGAGUGGUUAUUUAGUUCCUAUUAUUGUGUCUUGUAUUUCCUAUAAGACUUGUUUAAAGAAUUUUGAGAGUGAAUCAAUUCGUAAGAAUUUUUUCUCCAAAUAUUUCUGAUGUUUCACCUGGCCAAGGUAAGCUCAGUAGCUACUAGCUAGUGUAUUGUGUACAUUCAUCACAUCAAGAUGGAAAAACAAACUAGACAGAAUCAAAAGAGAAUACGGUUACUCUUCCUUUAUUUCUCAAAGUACAGAGAAUUUAGGCUAAAGCUCCUACAGAGAAUGCAACAUGUUUUUAUAAUAGAUGUCACUACAAGAAGGUAGGUUUAUGGCCACGGCUGGCACCCUGCAGCUAUGGAAGGUGCAGAUAAAUGUUGUAGCUGCGGCCACAUAUAAAAGCAUGGCUAUAAGUCUGAAACUAUGGCUGCGGCUGCACUUUUGCUGGACUUAAUAUGGUGUAUAGUUGCCAGAAGUGGCCACAACGAUAGCGUACAGCAUGCUGCUACAGGUGCCAGCUACUUGUGGCCGCGACCAGAUGCCCUGAUUGAUAGAUGCUUCUGUUCUAGCACUACUAUGUAUGUCCAGCUGGCUGUAUAUUUUAUGGACCAUCACUUUUUAAAUUUUUUUUUUAUCCAAACAACUUUCCAUGGUGGAGACUAAUUUGAUUUGGGAACUAUAUGUAAAAUUAAUUAUUAAAAGUAUAUGUAAAUCAACAUAUUAAAAGUGUAUAUAUAUAUGCCUUGGUUAUAUAUAUAUAACCAAGGCCGCAAUUCCUGUUACAUGCGGACAAGCCAUAGAAGUUCCAGAGAGAAUGUUGAAAUGCAUUUUCUCAAGUGCUGAAGACUAGGCUGCAAGGAUAUUCAAUCCAGGAGCUGUGACAUCAGGCUACAAAGAAAAAUAAUCAGAAAUGAAGCAUGAGUACAAUUAAAAACAAGUAAUUAAAGGAGCAGCCCGCAUAAAAUUUGAUGCUCUUUAGUAGGAAUUUACCUUCAAAAUUUCUGGGAUUAAGGUAUUGGGACUUUUUGAAGAAAAUGCUGCAACUCGAGGAGCAGGAUGAGACCCCAAUACAGUUUUUGAAGGGAAAAUUCUAGAAACCGGUUUUCUGUUCAUGUAAAUGGAAUAGGCUUAAAUGAGAAAUACAAAGUAAUUCAAUUAUCUCAUACUGAAUCUUCAUCAUCAGAGAGUAGAAAAUAACCGUGUAUGAUUAAUAUAGGAUAGAAUCCUGUCACCCAUGCCCCUUCCAACAAUAGCUGCAGGGAUCACAAAAGGAAUGGUAACAUCUUUAUCUACUUCAUCUAUAAGAAUCAUCCCAACUCCACCAGCUUCUCUGACUACUGCACUCUUUGCCAGCUUGGAAUCUGUUGAACUCUCAGCAUGUUGGCAUACCAAAAUCUCUGUCUGGCUUUAGUAUUAUUCAAGGAACUCUCCAAACAGUAGCGAGAGGAACAAGUAAACAAGAAAACAUAACUUGAGAUUUUUCAUUUAUGCAUUAAUAUCUAAGACCAUACUUAUUGUCAGGUACCUUCUGCUUCACCUGGAUUGGUAGGGAGUGAAGUAUCCUGCAUAGGAUUCUGAAGCAGAGAUGAUGCUUGUGGAGGCAUUCAUUUCAAACAGACUCAAACUUCACCCUAUUCAAUGACCAAGAGGUGUUUUAAGAGCCUGAGAAUAAUGUAUAAAUCUACAGACAUUAACCAGGAAAUAGCAUUGCUGUGAAAUUAGCACAUCUCCUAAUACGAUAUCAGAUAUAAAAUCCCUAUCUGUUCAACUAGCAGCAACAGUGAUCAUCCAUGGAGCAAGGUUUGUUGCUGAACCUUGAUUUCCUUCAUUUCCAACAGAAGCAACUACCACUACCCCAUGGCUAGCAGCAUGCAAUGACCCCAAGGAGAUGGCAUCAUUAAAAUAAUCUCCCUGAGGAGCUUAAGGACCUAAGGACAGAGACAAGAUAUGAAUGCCAACUCUAAUUGCAUCAUCAAAGGCAGCUAGUAAGUCCACAUCGUAGCAACCUGAGUCCCAACAAGUCUUGUACACUGCAAUCCUUGCCAUUGGAGCACUUCCUCUAGAACCUCCAGCUGCCAAGCCCUUAUAAUUCAUUUUGUCAUAUACCGGCCUGCAGCUGUUGAGGCUGUGUGGCUGCCAUGACCAGAACUGUCCCUAGGGGAUUUGAAUGACACAGACGUUAUCGGAUCUUCUUCAGCUUCAUAGCCACUCAAAUAAUAUCUGGCUCCAAUCACUUUCCUAUAUCGUAAUUUAAAAAAAAAAAAAAGUGAGGAUCCCUCUGUCAAUAAAUUUCCAUCAAAUGAUCUUACUAAAUAAGGUGUUACUAUUAUAAAAACUGUUGCAAGAUGAUGCAUUAAAUGCUUCUCCUGAUUGGCAUUGUCCAUUCCACCCAGCUGGUACUGAAGGCAUUGUCCAUUCCUCCUAAAUAUUUUAUCAAAGGAAACAAUAAUUAGUUUGAACAGUGCCACAAUCAAGUCAAGAAAGAUUUGAAGUUUGAACAAUACCACAAUCAAGUCAAGAAAGAUUUAAACAUGCUCUUUGGAUGAAAUGCAGGUGAUCAUUCAACCACUGCAUCACAACUCAAACAAGACAUGCAUAGAAAACAAAUUCAAUUUCAGCAAUAUAGGGCAUAGAUAUUGAUCAUUGUUGAGAAACCCAUAUAGUUGCUAAAUGUACAUACAGCCAUCUAAUUUUAAAGGCUAGUUUGGCCCUAUUUGAAUAAGUUUUGGAUUGUGCACCAUACCUAGAAGCCAUACUCUCUCUGGAUUGUGCACCAUGUUUUAUUAUGACAUCCUCUUCUUGUUCAAGUAUUUGGAAAAGCAAGUCCUGGAUUUUUCCUCCCUACAAAUAGAGAAGCAUUUAAAUUUUAAAAUAAACCCCAAAAGCAGGGAAGGAUUUUGUCCCUGUAUAAUGUGACAGAAACCUAUACUAUAAGUAGGCAGACAACAUUUCAGACUUUAAAUGGCUACAAUUACCAGAUGGUGAUGAAAAAUAAGCAGGAAAUAUCAGUCUGGUGGCUUAUGUUUCUCUCUGAACAUAUUUUUAGGAGAAAAAACUGUUAAAUAGAUGUAAAACCAUAAAUAAGGGUUUUAAACCAAUGAUUACAGCAACUAGAGUCAAUUCCCAUGUAAGUUCAUAACUAAACACUGCGUUCAGAAAUGAAUCACCAUCCAUAUUCAGCAUCAACCAUAAUCAUCUAUGCUUCAAAAUUAAAGGCAUCAAGUAGUAGAAGAAAAGUACCCACUCAUAAGGAUCACAAAGGAUGUGCUACAGGCUGGUUAAUAAAACAAACCUUGACCGCGUAUUUUCUUUCACAAAACUGCUUGCUGUCUCCUGUAAAAUCUUGGGAGAGAAACUCAGGUUAAUUUUUCCAUAUUUUUAAGAAUGUUUCUACAGAGUCCCACAAAAUUGUGACAAGUAACUACAACCCUACGUCAAAAUCUUUUGACCUGCAUUAUUAAUCAAGAUCACCAUUCUUGAUAAGCUCCCAGUUCUGUGCUAAAUUUCCACAAUAUUUUGAAUCAAAUUUUUGUAAAUAUAAUUUGCAAUCUGAAUAUCAAACAAAAGUACAUAUUUAAUGCAUAGAUAUUAAAAACCUUUAAAUCAACCUCCUUAGCCAUUUCUGUAUAUCAUCAUAAAGUCAUCCUUCCUAUAAUAAGGAGGCUGCUAGAAAUAGCAUAAAGGCAAUUCCUCACUUAUAAUCUCUUUUCGCAAUGCAACAAAUAAGUCUAACAGUUUCUUUAUGCUUGCUAAGACUAGAGUUAAUACCUCAAGUGGGACAAAUUGCAAAUUGAAGAAUUUUGAAGAUAUAUCUUCCGAAGUUUCCUUUUGCCUCUCUUUCCGCUCCUCCCAAAGGUAACUGCAAUUUCAAGGCAAAAGGAGUGAUAGAAAUCUAGAGAGCCCAAAAGCAAAUGCAAUAGCAAAUAAGCAGGCUUCCCAAACUAAAAUAGCAAAAACAGAGUAACCUAGAAUUCAAAUUGUUAGAGAAAAUUUAAAAAUUUAGCCCGUGUAAAUGAAAAAAGAAGUACCAGAGUAGCGACAAUGGCCAUUUUGUGAAGAGUGGUCACCACAUGAAUAUGCAAUCUGCUACUGAAAUGGUAGCACAAAAAUUCCUAACAAAUGAUUUUUUAAACAAGAGAUUAAAAAUCAAAAAGAAAAAUUAACAACCAUUGCUAAUGGAUUUGAAUAGAAACAAAUCCAUCUUAUUUUCGAUUUUGAUGCAAUGGAGAGGUGGAAGGAAAAGGGAAAACGGGAGAAGAAAAAAAUGAUUCAAAAAUGGGAUUUUAGAAUCUAACAUGGGAGAGAAAUUUGUUUUACCUUAAUUUGAAGGUGUGGGAUCGUUGGAGUCGAGGGCUACUGAAGUGGGAUUUCAGAGAGAACUGUUGAAGGAGAAGGGGAUAUUAGAGCUUCUUGUCAUGGAUUUAGUUUUUUCUUAAGCUUGUGUGGCACUUAUACAAGCCAAGACACUUGAUCUAAGUCAGUCUUACUUCUUAUGCUUAUCUGUUAGACUAAGAUGCACACGACUUAGAAGCUUUAGAAGGCGUAGUAGGCAACUCGUAAAGAAUUAAAGCUUUUAUUGCUCAAAGAAAGCUUUACAAGUGCUUGAAAACUCACUUGCUUGGUUAAGAAGUGAUUUAGGUGGUGCCUUGGCCAAAUGAGGUCUUAACCUAUUUAUAGGCACCUUAAAAAGUCUCUAGAACCUUGGAGGAUUCCUUACAAAUCAAGAAUAAUCUAGAAGCUCCUACACUAGUCAAUGUACAAGGUUGUGUACAAGAAGACUUUGGAAGACUCUAGAACACCCCACACUAUUCCAAUGGUUUCUUAUCUAAGUGUAAAGAUGUGUAGGCAUCUCUAGCCUUCUCUAGAAGCUUCCACAUUCUUCCACCUUGUAGCUAAGUGAAGAUGGUUUUAGGGGUCUUUAGAAGCUUCCUGCCCUAUAUAUAAGCCUAUGGGGAAGGGUCAUUUAAAGCAUCUUGUUACACUUUCCCUUACCCAUGCCGUCGAUGUCUCUGUUGUCACCUCAACUUGAAACUUCUCAAUGUGUUUCCAGAACUUUCUUAAGGCAUCCACGUGUUCCUAGCUUGCUUGUCAUUUAGUUAGUCAUUUCCAUCGCACUAGAUGCUUUAUCACAUGAGGGACCCCUUGUCUCUUGGUGACCACCCAUUUAGCCAGGAUAUCCUUCACCUCCUUUUCCUGUGAAGCCCCAAACGGAUGUAGACACUUACGCCUUUGAUGCUUAGAGCGCUAUUUUUUCUUGCCCAUCGAGUUCACCUUUCCCUUAGUGACCUUAUCCAUGUGUGGGUGAGCUACCUCAGCUUGCACUUUCUUUGCCUCAUUUACUUGUACCCCUAAUAGUAAGGAGGUCUUAAGCAUACUAGGCUUUGGGUUGACUUGGAGGGCACCUAGUAGCUAUAUCGAACCCAUAUGUGUUUCAUUUUCUUGUUCCUUCUCCUCGAUCAUUGCAUUGAGCGCCUUCCUCUUUGGACAAUCCAGUGCCUAAUGUGGACCAUCACACAUGAAGCACUUGAUUUUAAGUGUAAAAUCCUUCAUUUUCGCUUUACCUUUUCCUUCUUGGAUGUUAGACGUCUUGCUCAAUCUCAUUCUAACAAAACCAUGCUCCAUCGCAUCCUCGUUUUCUGUACUCUUGUAUGGCUAUCCUCCAAACACUCAACCAUGGAAGAAUUUCCUCUUUUGUAAUUCAUUAAAGACUCUGCUACUACCAUAGCAGUGGCUAAGUUUUAAACUCCUCGGCACCUUAGUUCUUACUCAAUCCACUAUUGCAAGUUAUCCAUAAAAUUAAAUAAUAAUUCCUCCUUAGUCAUAUCAGGAAUCUCAAGCAUGAGCGAAGAGAACUUCUUAACAUGGUCGCAAAUAGAGCUUGUGUGCUUGAGACGCCUCAUGUUUUUCCUAGCCUGGUAAGCCAUGUCAUCGGGGUAGAGCUAUCUCUUGAUCUCCCUUUUGAAAUCCUCACAUGUCUCUAUGGUGCAAAUGUCUUUCUCCAUAUUGGUGAUCUUCCUGCGCCACCAUAGAGUAGCCGUGUUGGUGAGGUAAAGUGUGAUGUCCCACAUCGGAUAGGGGGAGAGGUUCCUAGCACUAUAUAUGUAGAGGCUCCCCUUAACCAAGUAGACACGUUUUAAAGCUGUGAGAGCCCUUUUGGGCCUAAAGCGGACAAUAUCUACAUGGUUGGGUGCGGGUCGUUACAAAUGGUAUUAGAGCCGAUUUCCGACCCCGGUGUGGGGGUUUGUUUGGCCCAUAAAGGGUGUUUGUCUGUUUGACCCUACAAUCCCAUGGGACACAACGAGGACGUUGUGUUUGCAUGGGGGGAAGGUAUUUGUGAUGUACCACAUCGGAUAGGGAAGAAAGUUUCUGACGCUAUAUAUGUAGAGGCUCCUCUUAACCAAGUAGACGCGUUUUAAAGCCGUGAGGGCCCCCUUGGGCCUAAAGCGGACAAUAUCUACAUGGUUGGGUGCGGGUCGUUACAUAGAGGGUCGUAGUCCUCACCUUAGCUAUCUCAUCCACUAACGCGAUAGCCUUAAGGUAGGGAAAUUCACCUAUCAACAUCCACAACACACUGAAUCAACUUAUGCGAUGGUCUGUUGGCCUCCUCGAAGUGGCCUUCUACAGAUAUAGUCCCAUCACCUUUGGAGUCAAGUCCAUAAACCCUCUCAUAGGGCUAUGUUAUGCUCACUACGCCUUCUGGCCAAUAUGGUGCAUUCCAAUUACCAUCUAUGCCUUUGUCCCCCAGCUAGCUUUGCUCAAUUGCGCCUCAAUCUUCCCAAAGGUAUGCCCAUCUAGGCAUUCAUUAGCAUCGCAAUUAUGAAUUCAUGAUUAAUAACAUUAUAUAAUUGAUACUUAAUAAGCAAAUUGUAUGGUUUUACAGGCCUCAGACCCUUGGUUUUUAUUGUACAUAUUCCUUUUCCUUGGUGCCUAUGGGCAAAAAUGUCUCGAGUUUAUGUUAGCUGGAGAAACAAUCCAAAGAUGGUGGAACAAUCAAAGGAUGUGGACAAUUAGGGGACUCUCAAGCUUAAUUUUUGGAUUGGUUGAAUACUUACUGAAGUUCAUUGGCAUUUCCACAUUUGGAUUUAAUGUCACAAGCAAGGUAAUUGAAGAAGAACAAAGAAAGCGAUAUAACCAAGGGAUUUUCGAGUUUGGAGUCCCAUCACCCUUGUUCUUGCCCAUGACAACAGUUGCAGUAAUCAACUUGGUCUCAUUCCUAUGGGGCAUAGUACAACUAUGAUGGCUUCUUAAUUAAACGCAAAAAUCAUAAAGUUUUAGUAAGAGCCAUAAGCAUGCUCGAGUGUACGCUCUAGAAGAUAAUUAAGAAAAACAUAGCCAUAAUUCGAGGGGGGCUCAAAUGAUAGCUGGUUAACUAGUUGUUAGAGAGGAAUUUGCUAGUUUUUGGUGUUAUCUUCUGCAUGAUUCUUGCAUUCCGUAGUUGUUGACAACCCUUGAUUAGCAAUAAUUUGGUUGGAAAAGAAUUUUCUAGUUGAUAGUUUGAAAUUUUGAACUAUUUCCCUUACACCUUCUAUGGAUCCAAAGUUUGGGUACAUUUAGUUUCCUUGGUUCUUCCAUGGAAUCAACAAAGCUGAUAUUUAUGGUGGAGAAAUCAGGCAUCUAUUAAUUAAAUCCAUCACUCAUAGGAAUGGUGUAUGGGUAGGCAAGCCCUACAUAUGUGGUUAUACAAGUUUUUUUCCCACUAAAUGUUUUCUUGGGUGUGGCCAUCAGAACCAUCACAAAAUUAACCCAGAAACCAAGAUCAACAUGUCCAAAAGAAGUUUUAGCAUUGGCAUAUCAUGAUGCAGGGAUUUUUUAUAAGGAGUACGACAGUUUUUAAAAAUAAUGUCUAAAUUACCAUGGUAAAAAAAAUAAUUCCAAAUCUACGUAGUUUUGUCCAGCAAAGAGAGAGAAGAAAUUUGUAAGUGAGAAAUCGUCUCUUCAAGAGAUGAUUUUCACAAAAAAAAAAAAAAAAUAAUUCUCACUUUAAAUUUUUAUUUUUUAUUUUUAAAACACCUAAGUGGGGAAUUGUCUCUUAAAGAGACGAUUUCCACAAAAAAAAAAAAAAAAAAAAAAAAAAAACAUCUAAGUAGGAAAUCCCACAAAAAAAAAAAUUUAAAUUCUCACUUAAAUUUUAAAAAAAAAAAAAAAAAACAUGAAAAACGAUUUCCACACACAAAAAAAAAUAAAUAAAUAAAUAAAUUCUCACUUUAAAAUAAAAUAAAAUAAACCAUGUGGUAAAUAGUCUCUUUCACCCUCCCCCAAUAAAAGCUAAAAGUGAUAGUAUACAAGAGCCAGAGAAACCUCACCCGCAGGAUACACACCAAAGAAAUGGGAGAUUCAACUGGGGGCAAGAGCAGCACCAUCCAUGUCCCUCUUCACAUUCGUGUGCCACUGAGUCGAACCUCUGCAAACCGAGUAUUUGCUUUCUUCUACUCUUUAGCCAUCUUAGCUCUGCUGUAUCACCGUUGCAUUGCUCUACUCCAGUCCUUCACCAUAGUCUCCCUCCUCAUUCUUAUGGCUGAUGCAGUGCUGGCUUUCAUGUGGGCAACCUCACAGGCCUUUCGCAUGUGUCCAGUGGGUCGUCGGGUUUUCAUUGAACACCUUGAACAUUAUGCCAAGGAAAGUGAUUAUCCGAGGUUGGACGUGUUUGUAUGCACUUCUGAUCCAUAUAAGGAGCCACCUAUGUGUGCGGUGAACACUGCUCUAUCUGUGAUGUCUUAUGAUUAUCCAACAGAGAAGUUGUCGGUCUAUGUAUCAGAUGACGGAGGUUCCAAGCUGACCCUCUUUGCUUUCAUGGAGGCUGCUAGGUUUGCUGCCCUCUGGCUGCCUUACUGCAAGAAGAACAAGAUUGUAGAGAGGUGUCCAGAGGCAUAUUUUAGAUCUAAUCUCUCAUGGUUUCCCGAGACUGAUCAAAUUAAGGUAACAUAUAUAUAAUUUUUCGGGGCCUGCACCAACAUUGAUCAAGUUUAAUUUCUUUCCAUAUUCAAUUAACUAGCUAAUUUCUCUGUACAAAAUACAUGUAAUCAUGUUAUAUAUUUAUGCGGAGAACAAAGAACCAAGGGUUCCUCUCUCAUUCAAACGAGAUAGUGUUGCAGAUGAUGUAUGAGAAUAUGAGAGAUAGGGUGGAGAAAGCUGUCCAGAAAGGGAGCAUUUGCUAUGAUUAUCUCACUAAUGAAGGAGAAGGUGAAGCUUUCAGCAGAUGGACAGAUGGAUUUACACCUCAGAAUCAUCCUCCAGUAAUUCAGGUUUCCUUCAUAACUUAGACUGAUAGAUGAUUGACGCUUGGCCCCCAAAAUUCAAAAAGCACAAUAAUGCUACUUUAUGUGUUAUCAAAUGUCAUGAUUUGGGCCCCUUGAGUGCGGUUCCGGUAAUAUUGCCCACUAGUUAACGAUAAGAAGUAUCACAAACUAGUGAUUGAUCACCACUACUGACAGCUACCACUGAUGCAUAUCUUGCAACUUUGAAAGCAGGUUUUGUUAGAGAGCAGUAAGGAUAAGGACAACGCUAGCCAUACCAUGCCCAACCUUGUGUAUAUCUCCAGAGGGAAAAGCACGACUUUGCCCCACCAUUUCAAAGCUGGUGCACUUAAUGUCCUUGUAAGCCCACUAAUGGCUCUAAAAAUUUAUUUUAUACAUACAUACAUACUUUAUUUUAUACAUACUUUAUACAUACAUAUACACACACAUGAAUAUGAAAAAUCACUUUGUUUACAUUUUGAAGCUACGAGUAUCAGGCACCAUGAGCAACGCACCAGUAAUCCUAACACUAGAUACUGAUAUGUACUCCAAUGAUCCUCAAACACCGCUUCGUGUGCUGUGUUAUCUCUUGGACCCUGCUAUGGAUCCCAAACUGGGGUACAUUCAGUUUCCUCAGAUCUUCCAUGGAAUCAAUGAGAAUGAUAUUUAUGGAGGUCAACUCAAAUUAGAGUUCCAAAUUGAAGCCAGUGGAAUGGAUGGAUUGGUUGGCUCUACAUAUACAGGUACUGGAUGCUUUUUCAGGCGUGGAGUCUUCUUUGGUGGUCCAUUAGAAACCCCAGAACUGAACCAGGAUCAUCUAGUGAACAAGUCAAUCAAUUCCAAAGAAGUUUUAGCAAUGGCACACCAUGUUGCAGACUGCAAUUUUGAGAAGCAAACCAAAUGGGGCACUGAAGUAAGCAUGUUGGUUACUUUAUUACUAGAUAAUAUUGAUAAAAAGGGGAGAGCUCUGCUGGAUUAUCUACUGUGUGGAUCAGUAGAAUUCACUUUCCACAAGAGAAGUCAUUUUUUGCUUUGUGUAAGAAGUUUCUUCGAAAACAGUUUUGAAAUCUAGUUUUUGAAAAUUGUUUUGAUAAUUUAUAAAACAAAAACCCUUUGGGAAUCAGAAAUGUUUUUUAACCUAUUUUUUAUCGGUUUAAAUAUGUUUUAAAAGCAAUGUUUAUGUAUAGUAUUUCAUUUUUAAUUAUUUUUCAUAUUUUUAUGAUGAUUUUUUUUUAAUUCUUAGAAAACAAGCGAAAAUAAUUGAAAUAAUUAAAAGAUGUUAUUUAAAAACACCUUAUUUUUUGUUUUUAAGAACGACUUAUUUUCUAUUGUCAAAGGUGUUCCCUAUUUUACUAUUAUAAAGAAUAAAAAUCUGUUUUUGAAAAUAGUUACUAAACAAGCCUAAAUUACUGGUGCUCCUUCUGGUCUAAUUAAUACUGUCUAGUAUGUGUUUUCAAACUCUUGCAGAUUGGCUUCAGAUAUGGAACAUUGGUUGAGGACUUCUAUACCGACUAUCUGCUAAAAUGUAAGGGUUGGAAGUCCAUUUUCUGCAACCCUAAAAGGCCUGCAUUUCUGGGAAAUUCACCUAUCAAUCUCCACAGCACACUGAAUCAACUUAUGCGAUGGUCUGUUGGCCUCCUCGAAGUGGCCUUCUGCAGAUAUAGUCCCAUCACCUUCGGAGUCAAGUCCAUAAACCCUCUCACAGGGCUAUGUUAUGCUCACUACGCCUUCUGGCCAAUAUGGUCCAUUCCAAUUACCAUCUAUGCCUUUGUCCCCCAGAUAGCUCUGCUCAAUUGUGCCUCAAUCUUCCCAAAGG
rnacentral:lncRNA from 1 species